UACGAAGGGGGCUAGCGUUGCUCGGAAUCACUGGGCGUAAAGGGUGCGUAGGCGGCUCUCCACGUCGGAUGUGAAAGCUCAGGGCUCAACCCUGAGAUGCCAUUCGAUACGGGAUAGCUAGAGGUAGGUAGGGGAAAGUGGAAUUCCUGGUGUAGCGGUGAAAUGCGCAGAUAUCAGGAGGAACACCGGUGGCGAAGGCGGCUUUCUGGGCCUUACCUGACGCUGAGGAGCGAAAGCUGGGGGAGCGAACAGG
rnacentral:rRNA from 1 species